UUUUUUUUUUUACAUCUGUCAAGCUCUGAUUGUGGUGGGGUUUUUUUUUCUUCAAGACACAAUUGCCACUAGAAUUCGUUCUACCUUGCUGUAAUCGUCAUUUAAAUUGUAUUGCAUUACUUUUGUACAGAACAUUACAGAAUGAUUUUAAAAGUAUUAGAAUAACAAUAAGUAGCCUAAUCAUUACAUUGUACUUAACUUGCGUGGGUGCCUGAAAUGCUCCAUUAAGUUUUUAUAUAGUUUUUGAUAUAUGUUUGUUUUCAAAGGGUAUAUGAAUGCAAUUUUAACUUGGUUGCGUCAUUUGGG